AUAGAAUUUUAUAUUAACUUUACCUAGCGGUUAAUGCUGGUUUUUUGUUAAUAUUUGGUUGGGAGGAUUAUUAAAUUUAACAAACUUUAUAUCAUUAUAAACUUUGAUUUAAGAAAAUAUAAUGAUCUUCAAUUUGAAAUAGUUAGAGUAAAUUACCUUAGGGAUAACAGCGUAAUAUUUUUUUAUAGACCUUAUAGAAAAAAAUGGUUGCGACCUCGAUGUUGAAUUAAGAUAAAUUUUAAAUGCAGGAGUUUAAUAAU
rnacentral:rRNA from 1 species